GGCGCGGCUUAGCUGUAGAUUUGUGGAUCUGAGUCUCCGGCAAGGACAUGGUUUGCUCCACUCGAGGCUGCAAAAGCUCCUCUCUGCCAGGGCGGAGAAAGGCGGCAUCUGGAGAUGGGAAGCCGCGAGUUAAUGGUUAAAACACCCACGUGCCGCGAUCCCAUGCUUCUUCAUGGCUGCUAAUCUCCGACACGAAGUGUGGGUGAGAGAAGAUGUAGACUCGCUGCCGUGAGCACAGCCCAGCGCAGACAGCAGCCCGCCCGGGCGCCCGCGGGCCACCCUCACCAUGUCCAAGAAGGGCACGGGCAGCCGAGGCAAGGGGGACAGGGCAGAGGCCCUCGCCGCGCUGCAGGCCGCCAACGAGGAGCUGCGGGCCAAGCUCACUGACAUCCAGAUCGAGCUGCAGCAGGAGAAGAGCAAGGUGUCCCGGGGUCCCUGGGGCUCCCAAGGCAGCUCAGGAGCGGGCAGCGGGCUCCAGACCACAGACAGGGGAGCAGGUGGGUGUGCGCCUGGCCCUGUGGAAACAGCCCUGGUUCUCAGCACCAGGCCCAGGGCCCUUGUCCAGCCCUGGAACGCGCUCUGGCCCCUGAAGCUCUCACAGUGGAAUUUAACCCAAAUAUAACGCCCGGCCCACCCCUCUGCUGGAGAAGAAAACAGCCAGGCCCUGGGCUUCCAGCCCCCAGGUAUGGGGAGCAGCUCUAACUGACCUCAGAAACCAGGACCCCUGACCACAGUGGGACCCCCUGCCCCGAGACCUGCCCUUGGGAAUCCUGGCAGCCUGCAGGGGGGCCAGGCUUGUGCUGAGGGGGCCUCUGGGGAGGAGCCUGGGGGCCUCCACACCGAGCACCAGGCCCAGCCUGGGUGGCCAUCUCUCUGGCCCACACCUCCUUCCCGCCCUCCCUGCCACCCUGUCCACUCCGCUCAGCCCUCCCAGGAGCCCCUAGGAUGUGCACGGGCUCCUGGUGUUGGGGGGUUGCGCCGAGAGCGGGUCGGGGGAGAGGGCGGCCUGGGGGGGCUGAAGGUCCCGGGCUGCAGGCUGGCGGGUGUGACGCCCUGGCCUUGACGUCGGGAGGCCGAGGGGGGAGGGACCGGUGAUGGGCGGCCAGUGGCUCCCUCUGAGCUACAGGACCUCCUGGCCGAAUCACAGGGGUGCUCUUUCGAGACACGUGAUGAUUACGAAAGUUCAGAUUUCAGUGUCGGUACAUGAGCGGCAGGACCAGCCCUGGCCCGCCGCUUACACGGCGUCUGCGGCUUGGUUCCAGAGGCGCCAUCCGAGCCACUCAGCACGCGGCCUUUUACAGACAAAGCGAGCAGGUGGUCCUGGCCACUCCCACCUUAGGUCCUCUGCUCUGAAAAGGGGACAGAAGUUGGACCUUCUGGUGGUGCCAGAAAGGAAACGCCCUCGAGCCCCAGGCGCAGAGCCUCUGGCACGGAUACUAGCAGGCAGCCGACCCCGCGGCCGCUCCCGUGGCCAGGCCACCUCGAUGGGCCUGCAGGGGAGUCAGAAUCCACCAGGGACCCACGGUGAGGACCUGGUCAGCACUGCCCUGUGCCCGGCGGUCACAGAGUCCGCAAGGCCAGCCCGGGGCCCACGCUGCCUGUCUGGAGCGUGGGGUGAAGGCACAAAUGUGGUGACCUGGGCCGGAGAGGUGUCUCCAGAUGCAGAGGGCACCCAUUCUGUGCCCUAGAGGCAUUCGGCCCCCAAGCACUUUGUCCUGUGACCACACUGCAGACGCUGUGUGGCCAAGCCGAGGACGCCACGCUGGCCCUCCCCCUGCAGAUGAAGGAGAAGAGGAGCUGGCUUGUUGAGACCCAAGGACAAUGAAACCUCUUAUUUUAUUGGUAAAAAUACAACAGUGAUUACCUUUUCAGCGCAAAGAAGCAGCACAUGCUGGAGAAUUCUACCACGGAACCACCCAUGCGCCAAGCAGCACGUGCUAGAAACCACUACUGGUCCCUUUUGCCAAAGCUCCAGAUUCUGUGUGCCACUGGCAGCAGCGUCAUGCGUAUUUCACAUGCAGCUUGAUCAGAGCCCAUCCCUCCCGCGGCAGCUCACGGCGGGGGCGCCGGCCCCUCACUGGUCAGCAGGCCGAGUCUGGCCGAGUCCGAGCUCGUGGCUCAAGGCAGACAGGAGCCCGGGCCGGCGUCUGAGGUGUGUGAUGUACACAAGGGGACUCACCGUUUUUUGAAAAGAUGAUAUAAGCUCUUAGUUCAAAAGCCCAAAGCAAAGAAGAAAAGGCCCAGCUAGGGAGCGAGCCUCCUUUCUCUGAGCCUGCGCGCUCGGGUCCCAGCGGGGAGUGAGCUGCCGUUUCUUGAACACACCUGAGUCCCGUGUCCAAGCGCCAGCGGCACACACAGUUCUGCUCUCUUUUCCGGCUUCCUUUCCUGCGUGUCCGGGAGACCCGAGCUCCUCGGGCCCCUGCGUCCCACGACGAGCUCCAGCACACCUGGCAGCUGCAGGAGAGCAUCCACGUCCAUACGUCCUGGGCCACGUGUGCAGGAGGGUGUGCGACAAGUGUGACAGCGAUCACGCCGGGGCCCGUUGAGAGCACAGAGGGCCUUUCAGGGCGGCGGACGCUCCAGGAAUCAGAUCAGCCUCGAAUCUGCGCGGGGCUGGUCUGCUGGCAGGAGGAAGGCUGCUCUGGCCACACCAGCCACCGGCGCUCCUCCCCGCAGACCCUCGUCGUCCCGCCAGGAAAGGACCAGAUACCUUUUCCCCUCUGCCUCUGCUUCUUUCUAGUCGAGGUCCCCAGAGUGGCUUCCAGACCCCACUGUGCAUCAGAGUUCCUUUGUCUCCUUAGAAACACGAGGCCCUGGAAGACAACCUACCAAAUGGGAGGAAGUAUUUGCAAAUGAUAUGACUAAUAAGGGGUUAAUACCCAACAGAUAUAAACAGCUCGUACAACUCAACAUCAAAAAACACACACAACCUCAUUAAAAAAUGGACAGAAGAAGUUCCCAUUGUAGCACAGUGGAAGCGAAUCUGACUAGCAUCCAUGAGGAUGUAGGAUCGAUCCCUGGCCUCGCUCAGUGGGUCAAGGAUCCAGCGUUGCUGUGAUCUGUGGUGUAGGGCAUAGACAUGGCUCAGAUCUGGUGGUGCUGUGGCUGCGGUGUAGGUCGGCAGGCACAGCUCCAAUUUGACCCCUAGCCUGGGAACCACCAUAUGCCGCAGGUGUGGCCCUAAAAAGNAAAAAAAAAAAAAA
rnacentral:lncRNA from 1 species